GCGAAUCUGGAAAACAGUUGAAGCAAAAUCCAGUUUAAUCCAAUGACAAUUUUGUCUGAAAAAAUUGUAAAAUUUUUUUUUAUUGGUAGAAUCGCAAAUAAUAAUAAUUACCCAGUAAUUUGUCCAGGAAGAUAACCCGUCACGAUGAUGGCCGAAGUUGCACUCAAUUGUAUUGGAAUCGCGCUUUGACUCAGCACAUUCUGCAACGAAAUAAAUGGUUUCCCAUUCAGUUAUUCGUGAAGAAGUUCGUCGAACCUCUGAACGAGGUUCUUUUGUUCGUACAUAGAUUGUCGUCAAAGUUGUGAUUAAAAUCCGCGUGUCGAAAUUUCCUGCUAAAUGCGAUCAUUUCUUGCUCACCGGAUCGUUUCAAUCGGGAAUUCAAUAUCGUGCAGAGCCCUCCCAUUAUGAGGAAAAUUCAGAGUCGCCUAUCAUUCCAACUUCUUGCGUCCAAUUAUUCUCGUCUGACUGAGAAAACGAAAUUCAAUCGGGAGGGGGGGGACUCGUUUGAGUGAGCGAAAAAAAAACCAAUUUAUCUCUAAGCGAUUCAAUAACGAGAUGACGGAACACAUUUGCGGUCGGGAUCGCUCGCUCGGAAAGCGCUCGACAACUUACUUGUAAUCGUGUAACAGCCCGAGGGACAAUUAAUUCCUUCAAAGCUGCCUUCUUGGGAUGAAAAAUAAAAAUUUUCGCCUGCUAACGAACCGGGACAACUGACAAUUUGUUAAUUUUGACUGGCAAGAGAAACGAACCCAGACGCUCAUCUGUUUUCGUUCGAGUAAACGCUAGUCGUCCGAUAUUUGAGAAAAAUUAUCGAUCGUCAACUUGCAGAAGUUUUCCAAUUUUUCCAAAGGAAUAUGCUGAGAAAGAUUUCAAUCAAAUUUGACUUGAAGAUUGAAGACUGGAAGUUCACGCAAAGUUCGAAAUUUCGAAACAUUCCAUUGCACCAAUGCGACUGUGCGCGACCACUGACUGUCGCCUGUACGACAGAGUCCGAGCUGAACCGAGAAUUGACGGAGUGUACCGAAUACCGCAUAACAUAUUUACACCAAUACGAACGACGAGCAGGUAUAGAAACACAACAGAAUAUUGAGCGAAGCAGAUGUCGCGAUCACAUUUUACGUUCGACAAGAUCUCAUUUGAAGUGAAAAUUCAAUUUUCAACGUAUACUCACCAACGGUUGUGUCUGCGUAUCAAAAAAUCGAAAUCUUUUGAACGCUUCUUGUUUUUUGUCAACGCUUUUUUCCACUGUCGAUUCCGGCGACAUGAUUCUCGAGUGUUAUGAAGCAGAAGAACAACAGCUCGCGAUAGACUCGACGAGUCUACACACUUAAACAUGGAUAUCGUGCCAGCUCAGCUACUCGUCCGAAUAUUCCGUUGCACAUGUGCCAACACAUAGCCACUUAUUGUCGACCUCGCCCUCACGAUUUAUGAGAUUCUUUAUGUGAUUAUUUGAGACUCGUGACACGUACGAUACUAUAGUGACCGUUUAGAUGAUAAUUACGAGAGGGGAGCUCAAGGGGAAUGAGAGAACGUUAUUAACACUGCAUCGAGACACAGCUCUCCGGCUGAAUUUUAAUUCCAAGCUUCACCAUUCACUGCUAAGAAGCUCUAACUGAAAUUGAGUCCGUGAAAAUUGACGCAUUCGAAUUGCAGCAUUUUACGUUUGCCAGAAAAAUGUGUCGAAUUCUCGGAUUUAGUUCGUGCAUGCUCAUAUUGUUUCCUUCCGUUAUAAAAAAAAAAACGUCGUAAUUUAAAAGAAAGUAUUUUUCUUUCUGACAGUUUAGUUUACGGGAUUUGUCCAAAGUGUCAAUUAUUUUGAUGAUUUCGUGUCGGUAAUCCUCACUGCACUGUAUUGAAAAGUUGCUCGGAAAUUCAAAACCUUUAAUUUUGGAAUCUAUUAACCUCAAGAGAUUGAGACCUUUCAAAAUCAACGAUAAUAAUGCCACUGGUUUUCGUACAAUAGAAAAUCUUCUGACUAAUGACCGAACGAUUCGCCAAACUGGAGAAAAAACUUUUUAUUGUAUUCUCUCUUGUUAAUUUCAUAACAAUAUAGAAACCCUCUACUGACCUCGCAA
rnacentral:lncRNA from 1 species